rnacentral:rRNA from 1 species
UUUAUGGAGAGUUUGAUCCUGGCUCAGGAUAAACGCUGGCGGCGUGCCUAAUACAUGCAAGUCGAGCGAACGGACGAGAAGCUUGCUUCUCUGAUGUUAGCGGCGGACGGGUGAGUAACACGUGGAUAACCUACCUAUAAGACUGGGAUAACUUCGGGAAACCGGAGCUAAUACCGGAUAAUAUUUUGAAC